CAGCAUUCUUAAACCCUCUUGGUAGCAUUGCUGAAAACGCUUCCAAGAUAUGAGUGAAUGCAACAGAAAAUUGCAGAUUAAUCCAAAAUGCUAAGCAUUUUCUUCUGACUUUGCAUUAUUUCACAUCUGCGACAAUUU
rnacentral:snoRNA from 1 species